AAUAGAGGCACGAAGGCUAAAACCAUCACGUCCUGUGAUAACGCCUUCGUGACCAACAUCAUGUUGG
rnacentral:sRNA from 1 species